AGUGAACGCUGGCGGUAGGCCUAACACAUGCAAGUCGAACGGCAGCACAGUAAGAGCUUGCUCUUACGGGUGGCGAGUGGCGGACGGGUGAGGAAUACAUCGGAAUCUACUUUUUCGUGGGGGAUAACGUAGGGAAACUUACGCUAAUACCGCAUACGACCUACGGGUGAAAGCAGGGGAUCUUCGGACCUUGCGCGAUUGAAUGAGCCGAUGUCGGAUUAGCUAGUUGGCGGGGUAAAGGCCCACCAAGGCGACGAUCCGUAGCUGGUCUGAGAGGAUGGUCAGCCACACUGGAACUGAGGAACGGUCCAGACUCCUACGGGAGGCAGCAGUUGGGAAUAUUGGACAAUGGGCGCAAGCCGGAUCCAGCCAUACCGGGUUGGGGAAGAAGGCCUUCGGGUUGUAAAGCCCUUUUGUUUGGAAAGAAAAGCAGCAGGUUAAUACCCCGCUGUUCUGACGGUACCCAAAGAAUAAGCCCCGGCUAACUUCGUG
rnacentral:rRNA from 1 species